UACGUAGGCGGAAAUCUAAGUCAGUGGUGAAAUCCCGCAGCUCAACUGUGGAACUGUCAUUGAUACUGGUUUUCUUGAAUAUAGUUGAGGUAGGCGGAAUGUGUAAUGUAGCGGUGAAAUGCUUAGAUAUUACACAGAACACCGAUUGCGAAAGCAGCUUACUAAACUAUGAUUGACGCUGAGGUACGAAAGCGUGGGGAGCGAACAGGAUUAGAUACCCUGGUAGUC
rnacentral:rRNA from 1 species